rnacentral:lncRNA from 1 species
CCCCCUCGGUUCUCCAUUAGGAGCGCAAACAGCAAGCGGGUUUGGGGCAAGAGGUAAGGAGGACCUGGAGAGCGGACAGAGGCUCCCCUGGAGCUCCGUGCCCUUCUUGGAGGAGUGCUAUGGCCUCUUCCCCGGCCUGGAGGCGGCGCUUACGGGGAUUCACAAGUUUCUGUGCAGGGCGUAUUCUCUAGAAGGGCUUUGGAAUUAAGAAGACGAAAGCGCGCGGGGGUUCAUCUCUUUAGGUAACCCUGCCUGACUUGAAACUUGAGGUACUCCUGCAACAUCCUGCAUGCUGGAAUUGCAAGCAUGAGCCACGUGUUUCCAUGGGAGAUCAUCUGAAGGAACAAGGCAGAGCAAUAGAGGAAGACACCCAAUAUCUUCUGUCCUACGCAUGUGUGUAUACAGGCUAGGAAUGGGUCAAAUGAUAGCGCUUCUCCUGGUCUUUGGAGUCCUUCAGUCUUCUGACCACAGGCUUGACUAUGACAGCAGAAGUGGCAUUGUAGAUCCAGGCCUCUCCACGUAGUGUUUCCUUCCAUUCAGGAACCACAGUGCCAGUGCCAGUGCCAGCGCCCAUCUUUUCAUCUUGCUUUUGCCUCAGGAGAAACAAGAAUGCUUGACGUGCUGGCUGCUUUCAAUCUGCCAUUUUCUGGAGGAAGAUACCAUAACUGGUCCCACUUAAAAAAAAAAAAAACACACACAAUUUAUUUUCUUUUCCCAGAGAUGCUGUCUAAGACAGGCAUGGUGGCUCGUGACUACAAUCUCAUCUCCUGAGUGGCUGAAGCAGGAGGACUACCAGGAGACGGAGGCCACAUGAAUAGGAUUGCUUCAAGUUUUUGGCCAGUCUCAGUCAUAUAACAAGACCCUGUCUUAGAAAAUAAACAGCCUGGGGUUGUGGCCCAAGUCAAAUCUGUCCAAACUCGUCUGCGGCCCCAGCGUGCUCUGGCCUCCACACCUCACGUCUCACAUGGAGGCUGCAUGACCAGUGAGGAGCUCCGGUUGGGCUCAGGAUCGAGGUCUGAGUGACUCUGGGUGGGGCCUCCUCCAGCUCUGAUGCUCCUCGGGUCCAGUUCUCAUCAGCUCCCAGAUCCGCUGGUCCUUCAGCUGUACCAGGUGUUCCAACCUCAUCACCUUCAACUGCAAAAUCUUCAAAAAACACACAGGUCUGAAAGUAUCUAGAGAAGUCUGUCUACCUGCCGGCUAGGCCUCAGGCAACUCUAACCUCUAGGAACGAAUGUACAACUCCAGGCAUUUACCCAGCCCAUGCUUCCUGAGAUGGGCCCCGGUCCGCCCUGCCCUCUUGCACUCCUGAGCAGCACUUGGGUCUGGGAUGGACAGAUCACUGAGGCAGGUGGAAUUUCUAAAGAAUCUAAAGAAUGUCUAAAGAAUGUUGACUCUCUCUGGUCAGGGCCCUGCACUCCCUAUACUGCCCUCACUGGGCCAGUGCUGGCUCUUCAGAAACUCAGCCAAGGAGUGUGAAGCUGGGGCAGUGGGUCCCUCUGCAUCCUUGCAGCUCAGAAUCUCCGGGAAGCAAGGGAUGCCCAGUAGGACCAUACCUUGACCGUCUCCUGCAGAAUGGCUAGUGCUUGCUCCUUAUCCUCCAGCUGCUGCUGGAUGCUGACCAGGUUUGGGAGUUCAACAUCAUGGACCCAGCUUUCGGGAACAGAGUGGUGCUCUCCACCGGAGUCCCAGAGGGGUUCUGACAAGCUGCUGUUAUCCACAUCAGGAUCUUGCAUCUUAGAGGCGGAUUGUCUGACUGAGUGCAAAGGGCAGAAGGCACAGCAGACUUGCAUGCUGAAUUGAUGUGCAGACACUUACAGCUGUACCAGCUGAGCCUACAUGAACAGUCCUGGCCUCCAUCUUCUCCCUCAGUGCACAUAGAAUAGACUCGAUAACUCCAGGCCUGUUGGAUACCACCCUUUGGAUAUCAUUAUCUGAGAUACACAAGUGCAGCUUGCGAAAGACUUUCCUGCAAAGAAGGUAGGAGCACAUUCUCAAAGCAGUACCAUCAAGGACUGGGAGUUGAGCCCUCCCUGAAGUUCUAUGCUCCCUGCAAUGCCUUCCAGCCACUGGGCAGCAUCUUGCUUUCUCAGAGAGCCCCUUUGUGCCCUGCACUUGAGUGGCGCAUGGCUAUCUCAUUCUUGGCCUUUGGAGCUAUGUCUCAGGAGAUCGCAGAACAUGGGGUGCUCUAUCAGGCCAUGUUCUCUGCAUUCAUUCUCAUCUCUCUACUGGCUUGCCCUCGGUAAAUCCUGUUGAGACAGCUCAACAGUACCUGGAAACCUGCAGCUGGGCCCUCUCAGCAUGAUCAUCUCCCUUGAGGUCUCUUUUCAUCUCUUCCCUCUCAAACAUAAGCCCAUGAGAUUAGACCCAGGCCUGAGCCCAGCAAUGUUUCUAUUCCAAUCUGAGCCAGUCUUUUGGGGGUGCCCACACAGGUUCUCCACCUUGCUCUGCUCAGACACUUCCCGAGGGCCCUCUGUGAUUGGACUACAUCAGACAUAUCUGCCCGACUCUGUCCUUGAGAUCACUUAUUAUACACAGGCAGAGUCUUGUCUGAGGACAUUUGGGGAGGUGAAGUAAAACUCUACUGAUCCGUAAGGGAGCAGGCUAGCUGAUAGGCUGCCCUAGCACCCCCAGGAGUGGUACUAGGGGUACUAGUGCCCUAGUACCCCUGGUUGUGGUACUCUUCUAUAGGCAAGGACCCACAGUUAGGCAGUCAGAGACCCAUGGCUGGAGAGAGCAUCCCGGGGUCAACCUAGGUGGGCUGAGCUCCCAGGCCUUGCCUGUUGAGAAGGCUCCAGUUGCUCAGCUUCUGGUCUGUACUGCAGGCUGGGACGUAGCUGUGCAAGUCCACCAGCCGAGGGCGGAAGUGCUUCACAAUCUCGGCCACCAGCACUGUGGGAAUGCGAGGGGAACUUGGCUUGCCUGGUCAAGACCCUGGGUUGCAACUGUAAUCCCUGACCACAUGAGAUGCAUGGAAUGGAGUGGGAAGGACACGAGCUUUUCCUGGGGAGCCCAUAAUUGUCCCCGAGUCUGGCACGGCACCUAGACUCCAGGUCAGACCAAGUGGUAGGAUGGCCUGGGAAGCUAAUACAGCGUGAGAGCCCAGGGGGAGCUGGAAGAGCCACAGGAGGCCCUGUUUGCUACUACCUUUCCUAAGGAGCACGAGUCUGGACUCAAGAACCGCUCCGUUCCCCCAACACCCACACCCGUACUAGGGGGCUGGAGGCAAGGGUGGCCCUCAGCUUUGAGUCCUCUUCAUCAUCCGCCCCAUAGCGCCUCGCCCUCACUCGCACCACCAUCACUGAAGUCCCGAGCCAAGUGGCGCUUGGGGCGGCUGAGUGGGAGCCGGUCCAGCCAGGCGCAGAGGUUAUGAAUAUCCCCAGGCGUUGGCAGGAACGAAGCUGAGCUCGGCUUGGAAGCACUGAGCAUGGCAGAGAAGUGGGUGUGCAGCAGAGAAACACAGCGGAAGAAACCUGGCGGGUUUGGACCGUUGCUGGGAGACGCGGCACAGCCGGAAGGGGCGGGGCCCUAACCGCGCUGGUCCCUCCCUCGAUCCCAGGAAGGAUUGGUCCUCCUGCACGCCCAGAGAUCGGGCUGAAUCAAGGUGGAUGGUUAAAAAACGAAGGGAGAUGGUAGGUGAAAUUGUUUGAUCUGGUGUAAUAAAAACAAACUGCCAUGUAGAAUGUGAUCUAUAAUCUAUUGAUAAAAUAGAAUCUUUAUUAGUG